UUAAGCGACUAAGCGUACACGGUGGAUGCCCUGGCAGUCAGAGGCGAUGAAGGGCGUGCUAAUCUGCGAUAAGCGCCGGUAAGGUGAUAUGAACCGUUAUAACCGGCGAUACCCGAAUGGGGAAACCCAGUGUGACUCGUCACACUAUCAUUAACUGAAUCCAUAGGUUAAUGAGGCGAACCGGGGGAACUGAAACAUCUAAGUACCCCGAGGAAAAGAAAUCAACCGAGAUUCCCCCAGUAGCGGCGAGCGAACGGGGAGUAGCCCAGAGCCUGAAUCAGCAUGUGUGUUAGUGGAAGCGUCUGGAAAGGCGCGCGAUACAGGGUGACAGCCCCGUACACAAAAGCGCAUGUGCUGUGAGCUCGAUGAGUAGGGCGGGACACGUGGUAUCCUGUCUGAAUAUGGGGGGACCAUCCUCCAAGGCUAAAUACUCCUGACUGACCGAUAGUGAACCAGUACCGUGAGGGAAAGGCGAAAAGAACCCCGGCGAGGGGAGUGAAAAAGAACCUGAAACCGUGUACGUACAAGCAGUGGGAGCACAGGUUUACCUGUGUGACUGCGUACCUUUUGUAUAAUGGGUCAGCGACUUAUAUUCUGUAGCAAGGUUAACCGUAUAGGGGAGCCGUAGGGAAACCGAGUCUUAACCGGGCGUUAAGUUGCAGGGUAUAGACCCGAAACCCGGUGAUCUAGCCAUGGGCAGGUUGAAGGUUGGGUAACACUAACUGGAGGACCGAACCGACUAAUGUUGAAAAAUUAGCGGAUGACCUGUGGCUGGGGGUGAAAGGCCAAUCAAACCGGGAGAUAGCUGGUUCUCCCCGAAAGCUAUUUAGGUAGCGCCUCGUGAAUUCAUCUCCGGGGGUAGAGCACUGUUUCGGCUAGGGGGCCAUCCCGGCUUACCAACCCGAUGCAAACUGCGAAUACCGGAGAAUGUUAUCACGGGAGACACACGGCGGGUGCUAACGUCCGUCGUGAAGAGGGAAACAACCCAGACCGCCAGCUAAGGUCCCAAAGUCAUGGUUAAGUGGGAAACGAUGUGGGAAGGCCCAGACAGCCAGGAUGUUGGCUUAGAAGCAGCCAUCAUUUAAAGAAAGCGUAAUAGCUCACUGGUCGAGUCGGCCUGCGCGGAAGAUGUAACGGGGCUAAACCAUGCACCGAAGCUGCGGCAGCGACGCUGAUGCGUUGUUGGGUAGGGGAGCGUUCUGUAAGCCUGCGAAGGUGGCCUGUGAGGGUUGCUGGAGGUAUCAGAAGUGCGAAUGCUGACAUAAGUAACGAUAAAGCGGGUGAAAAGCCCGCUCGCCGGAAGACCAAGGGUUCCUGUCCAACGUUAAUCGGGGCAGGGUGAGUCGACCCCUAAGGCGAGGCCGAAAGGCGUAGUCGAUGGGAAACGGGUUAAUAUUCCCGUACUUGGUGUUACUGCGAAGGGGGGACGGAGAAGGCUAUGUUGGCCGGGCGACGGUUGUCCCGGUUUAAGCGUGUAGGUGUGUGUUCCAGGUAAAUCCGGUUCACUUUAACACUGAGGCGUGAUGACGAGGCACUACGGUGCUGAAGCAACAAAUGCCCUGCUUCCAGGAAAAGCCUCUAAGCAUCAGGUAACAUCAAAUCGUACCCCAAACCGACACAGGUGGUCAGGUAGAGAAUACCAAGGCGCUUGAGAGAACUCGGGUGAAGGAACUAGGCAAAAUGGUGCCGUAACUUCGGGAGAAGGCACGCUGACACGUAGGUGAAGUGAUUUACUCAUGGAGCUGAAGUCAGUCGAAGAUACCAGCUGGCUGCAACUGUUUAUUAAAAACACAGCACUGUGCAAACACGAAAGUGGACGUAUACGGUGUGACGCCUGCCCGGUGCCGGAAGGUUAAUUGAUGGGGUCAGCGCAAGCGAAGCUCCUGAUCGAAGCCCCGGUAAACGGCGGCCGUAACUAUAACGGUCCUAAGGUAGCGAAAUUCCUUGUCGGGUAAGUUCCGACCUGCACGAAUGGCGUAAUGAUGGCCAGGCUGUCUCCACCCGAGACUCAGUGAAAUUGAACUCGCUGUGAAGAUGCAGUGUACCCGCGGCAAGACGGAAAGACCCCGUGAACCUUUACUAUAGCUUGACACUGAACAUUGAGCCUUGAUGUGUAGGAUAGGUGGGAGGCUUUGAAGUGUGGACGCCAGUCUGCAUGGAGCCGACCUUGAAAUACCACCCUUUAAUGUUUGAUGUUCUAACGUGGACCCGUGAUCCGGGUUGCGGACAGUGUCUGGUGGGUAGUUUGACUGGGGCGGUCUCCUCCUAAAGAGUAACGGAGGAGCACGAAGGUUGGCUAAUCCUGGUCGGACAUCAGGAGGUUAGUGCAAUGGCAUAAGCCAGCUUGACUGCGAGCGUGACGGCGCGAGCAGGUGCGAAAGCAGGUCAUAGUGAUCCGGUGGUUCUGAAUGGAAGGGCCAUCGCUCAACGGAUAAAAGGUACUCCGGGGAUAACAGGCUGAUACCGCCCAAGAGUUCAUAUCGACGGCGGUGUUUGGCACCUCGAUGUCGGCUCAUCACAUCCUGGGGCUGAAGUAGGUCCCAAGGGUAUGGCUGUUCGCCAUUUAAAGUGGUACGCGAGCUGGGUUUAGAACGUCGUGAGACAGUUCGGUCCCUAUCUGCCGUGGGCGCUGGAGAACUGAGGGGGGCUGCUCCUAGUACGAGAGGACCGGAGUGGACGCAUCACUGGUGUUCGGGUUGUCAUGCCAAUGGCACUGCCCGGUAGCUAAAUGCGGAAGAGAUAAGUGCUGAAAGCAUCUAAGCACGAAACUUGCCCCGAGAUGAGUUCUCCCUGAGACUUAAAGUCUCCUGAAGGAACGUUGAAGACGACGACGUUGAUAGGCCGGGUGUGUAAGCGCAGCGAUGCGUUGAGCUAACCGGUACUAAUGAACCGUGAGGCUUAACCUU
rnacentral:rRNA from 1 species